AGGUCUCACAGUCAUAGGGAGACAUUUAAGCCCCUGCUGGUGAACCUGAAGACAAAGAUAACAGAAGAGGAACAGACCUCCACAUGUUUUGCUUCUCUUUUUGAUUCACCUCCAGUUUGUCUGUAGCUUGAAGAGGACAGUCAGAGAACC